rnacentral:rRNA from 1 species
UACAGAGGGGGCAAGCGUUGUUCGGAAUUACUGGGCGUAAAGCGCGUGUAGGCGGCUAAGUAAGUCGGGCGUGAAAAUCCCACGGCUCAACCGUGGAAAGUGCACUCGAAAACUGCAUAGCUAGAGUCCUGGAGAGGAAGGUGGAAUGCUUGGUGUAGAGGUGAAAUUCGUAGAUAUCAAAGCGGAACACCGGUGGCGAAGGGCGGCCUUACUGGGACAA